rnacentral:lncRNA from 1 species
GAAGGCAAACACAUACAACCAUACAAUGCAAGGGUGAGCUAGGUCUCAAACAAACAUACAAUUCAUUUCAAUUCAAUCUAGCAUUUCCAAGAACGUCCAUUCACACAUAAACAUGUAAGUCAUCAUAAACAUAAACAUUUAUUUCAUAAAACUCAUCAAAGCAAGCAUCCUAUCAUGUUAAGACUCCUAGACAUGUCCGAACUUAGAAUGUAUGUAGAGUUGGGGCGAGUUGUGCACUUGUGGUGGCCCCUACUGCUUUGCAAAGUCAUUGUCGAGGGGUUUCACCCGACCACACACAAGGCUAGUCCGUUACCGCGGAAUAGACCUCUAGCAGUGAUAGUGCCUACCCUAGGACCUCCCACUACUCCCACCACACGCGUCAAUCCUCUCUAAGUGAGAAUGAAAGACCGUUGAAGUGUUAGGGAUAAUUCAUUCAAUACACUAACUGAUCUCACCGAGAGAUCGUAAUUUCAUAACCAAUCCGACCAUUUUAAAUCACAUGAUAUACCUCUUGAAUCAAU